UUUUGAUUUUUGCCACUUACAUGUCAUGAUUUCAUUUUAUUUUUUUGGAUAUUUUCUUUAUUUACAUUUCAAAUGUUAUCCCCUUUCCUGAUUUCCCUUCCAAAAAUCCCUUCCCCCUAUCCCCUUGACAACCCAUCCACUCCCACUUCCUGGCCCUGGCAUUCCCCUACACUAGGGCAUAGAAUCUUCACAGGACCAAGGGCCUCUCCUUCCAUUGAUGUCUGACUAGGCCACUCAUCCUCUCCUACAUAUGCAGCUAGAGCCAUGGAUCCCUCUAUGUGUUUUCUUUGGUUGGUGGUUUAGUCUCAGGGAGCUCUGGGGGUACUGGUUAGUUCAUAUUGUUGUUCCUUCUAUGGGGCUGCAAACCACUUCAGCUCCUUGAGUCCUUUCCACAGAAUAUAUUUUUAAACGCAUAGAAUAAAACAAGAUUACAAAGGAAAACAAUCAUGUUGAAACAGCUGUGAAGCGGGGAAGCCGAACUGACAGUACAAACAUUUCAGACUACCCAUUUAAAAAAACAAGGUGAGAACUUGUCAACUAACACUUCAAGUAAACUACAAUAAACUUUCUGUGUGUGCAUAUUUUUCAGUUCUUGUUUAUUCUGCAAAUUUGAUGGUGUGCUCUAAUUACUGAACCGUGAAUGUUAAUGUGCUAAAAAAAAAAAGUAGGAAAUGGUUUUUAAAUGAUGAGAGAUAAAUUAGCAUAAACAAAUGUAUUAAAUAAUAAAACCAUAUCCAAAAGGAGCAUGUCUUGACUGCUGAUUGAUGCUGGAGGGCCAGCCCACUG
rnacentral:lncRNA from 1 species